rnacentral:rRNA from 1 species
UGAUGGGGAUAACAGUUGGAAACGACUGCUAAUACCGAAUACGCUCAUGAUGAACUUUGUGAGGAAAGGUGGCCCCUGCUUGCAAGCUAUCGCAUAGAGAUGAGUCCGCGUCCCAUUAGCUAGUUGGUGGGGUAACGGCCUACCAAGGCAACGAUGGGUAGCCGAUCUGAGAGGAUGAUCGGCCACACUGGAACUGAAACACGGUCCAG